GUAUUGUAUGAAAGGAUAGAAGGUUAGCAUUCUCCUUGAGAAGGAUGGAAGAGGUCCUAGUGGGCUAAGGUAUUGCCACUUACUCUGUGACAUCUAACCAUUUAACUCA
ensembl:snRNA